CUCAUGCGAAAUUUUAGCCAUGAUACCAGCACUCUACUUACUUUUAAAAUUUCACAUGUUAUUACAUCUUCAUUCUUAAGUGUACCGUUGAGUGUGGGUGGUUACUUCCGGAAACUUGAAUACAAUUUCAACUCCGCGUUCUCAGAUAAAGUGAUUGAUUAUGAUUAUUUGAUUAACACAUAAAUUUUUGAUAUUCUACGUUGAGCUUCCCAAAAAAGAACUGAGUUUGUGGUUGCACUCUUUGGUUUUUUAUUUCCUGGUGAGGGUAAAGAAAUCGCAAUAUGAUUCGCUCAUUGACUAGGCGGAGUGAAAGCUUGGGGAGAGGAAAGUGAAUAAAAGUGGUCGAAUAAAUAAGUUCGCGGAGAGAUUGGCAGUCUGGUCAGGUGCUUAAUGGUUAAUCGUGAUUGAAUGAGUAAAGCGUUGGAAAUCAUACGAAUCAUGCACUUUCUCCAAACAACACCAUGUACAAAUAAGAGAUCAUUACUCCCUUCUCCGCCUCCCUGUGUCGCCACGGCCAUGUCGUCAACCC